rnacentral:rRNA from 1 species
AGCGAACGCUGGCGGCAGGCCUAACACAUGCAAGUCGAACGAACUCUUCGGAGUUAGUGGCGGACGGGUGAGUAACACGUGGGAACGUGCCUUUAGGUUCGGAAUAACUCAGGGAAACUUGUGCUAAUACCAAAUGUGCCCUUCGGGGGAAAGAUUUAUCGCCUUUAGAGCGGCCCGCGUCUGAUUAGCUAGUUGGUGAGGUAACGGCUCACCAAGGCGACGAUCAGUAGCUGGUCUGAGAGGAUGGCCAGCCACACUGGGACUGAGACACGGCCCAGACUCCUACGGGAGGCAGCAGUGGGGAAUCUUGCGCAAUGGGCGAAAGCCUGACGCAGCCAUGCCGCGUGAAUGAUGAAGGUCUUAGGAUUGUAAAAUUCUUUCACCGGGGACGAUAAUGACGGUACCCGGAGAAGAAGCCCCGGCUAACUUCAUGCCAGCCGCCGCGGUAA